GUAGGAUGCAAGCGUUACUCGGAUUUAUUGGGUGUAAAGGGCUCGCAGGGUGGCCCUGUAAGUCAUAGGGUGAAAGCCCUCGGCUUAACCGAGGAAUUGCCUAUGAUACUGCAGGGCUUGAGUACUGGAGAGGGAAGCGGAAUUCCUGGUGUAGCGGUGAAAUGCGUAGAUAUCAGGAGGAACACCGGUGGCGAAGGCGGCUUCCUGGACAGAUACUGACACUGAGGAGCGAAAGCGUGGGUAGCAAACAGGAUUAGAUACCCUGGUAGUCCACGCCCUAAACGAUGGGUACUAGGUGUGAGGACGAUUUAAAGUCUUCGUGCCGCAGCUAACGCAAUAAGUACCCCACCUGGGAAAGUACGGCCGCAAGGUUG
rnacentral:rRNA from 1 species